rnacentral:lncRNA from 10 species
GCCGGGGCGCAGCUCCGCGAGUGGCGUGGGGUUCCCACGGAGCCUGGGUUCUUUCGCACAGCGAGCAUGCAGCUAGGCCGAUCUUUGUUCUUUAGAGACAAAGCCCCUGAACUUGGGUCCUCGCUUUGUUCAGGAGGCAAGAGAGAAAGGAGCUGGAGGAAAAGGAGUAAUUCUGGAAAAAGUUUCCUCACUCUUAAUAGAAAGAGAGAGAGAGAGAGAUAGGUGGGUUUUUUUCUUCCUUUGGAUGUUAUAUGUCUAGGUCUAAUGCCAUCUUGCUACAAGCCUAAAGAUGAAACCAGGACUGGAGAUGGCAAAGAGACAUAGAAGCGAGCUGGGUCCUUGAUGGCAUUAUUGAGCCACAAUCCCUCUGCCCUAACCUGACACUCUCCAUUAGGUGAGAUAAUAUUUCUAUUUUCUUAUAGACCAGUCUAUAAGAGGCUGAGGCAGGUUCGUGUUUUCUGUCCUCUUUAUUGCUUGUUAUGUGAGACACAUAAUGCCAAUCUGUUUAUCUCUCAAUAUGCCAGAGAAAAUACUUGUCACCAAUGGUCCUGUUCUGUUUUUUCAUACUGUUAAGUGAUUUUGCAAAUUAUUUACAGAGCUAAGACUAAAGGAAUAGUGAAAAAUAAUUCUUUAAAAAAUUUUUAAUUUCAGUACAGCAAACCCGUUUUUUAUUCUAUAUUUUCCUGCAUUUGAAGGAUUAUUUACCCUAAAUGGACAGUGUUCUUUGAACGUAACUGACUACUUAUCAAUUAGCAUAUAUGAACCAGGAACACAAUCAUCUUAUAAAUAUUGAUUCCAGGCUUCAAAUACAUUUUUUUUUUUUUGAGACAGAGUCUCACUCUGUCACCCAGGCUGGAGUACAGUGGCGCAGUCUUGCCUCACUGUAACCUCCGCCUCCUGGGUGCAAGCAAUUCUCAUGCCUAACCAUCCAGAGUAGCUGGGACUACAGAUACCCACCACCACGCCCGGCUAAUUUUUUGUAUUUUU